UUUAUGUUUAGAAAUUUUUGAAAUUGAUAUAUUAACUAUCCUAUCUUUAAGUUGGUUGAAACUGUGCUAAAUUUUACUAAAAUCGGUUCCGUAGUAUAGGAGUUUAAUCAGGGCGCGUAAUUUAUAUAUACCUAUAUAGAUAAAUUCCCGUUUUAUUUGGAAUUUAUUGUCAAUACUAUUAUCAGCUACUUGUAAUGCACGAAUCAAUUAUGUGAAAUAAUAUUUUAUGAGGUACAGCGAUGACAGAUUUGCAGAAAAAGUUCAGUGUUUGCUUUCGCUUUUAACCAAUGGAAUGGGGAGCUAAAUGAAGUCCUAUUGCGGUGACUGCCUUACAUAAUUUUGGAAAAAUCACACGUGAAAUUUAUGAGCUUCCCAAAAAACUUUGUAUUUCAAUGUUUGUUUACCGCACUAUUUUUCCCAAACGUCUACCGUUAAUGACAGAAAGAGAAGUGUUCGUUCUCGUUUCGUUGGAAAUGGGUAUAUCGUCAAGACUUAUUUGAGAUGAUAUCCACAUCAAAGCUUACCGUCGGUCAACUGGUCGUCUUCUGUCAUCACGCUUGAAUCAAAUUAGGUUUAACAGAUACAAGCGGCUUCUUCAGUCACAAGCAGUCAACGGCCAUAAAAGUAUCCUCUUUAUAGAUGAAAAAUGUUUCUGUGUUGAAGAAGUUUCUAAUAAGCGAAACAACAUAAUCCACACAAACGCUGUUAUUUCAAGAGUUCAACAUGGUCACCAUCGAGCUGUCACCAAUAGUUUGCGGGAAAGUCUCCAGUAAAGGCGUUACACCUGUUCACUUCUGUGAAAAAGGGAUUGAAAGUGGGGCAACAGUGUAGCAGUAAGAUGUUUUAGAAGGAGCUUGAACCUGUAACAGAACUUAUGGCAGAACUAAGGUCUCCGACGCUUCCUUCUGACUGUUACAAACUUUGUGGCAAACUUAAUAUACCCCUUUCAGGGUAUAAAAAUAGAAAGCAGUUGGUUUGAUUUUCAGGAUAACUGAAAAACUUUGUUGGAUUUCGAAAUUAGAUGGAUUGGAAUGAAAAGGUAGCUGAGAAAUUCGAACGAACUUAAAACAACAUCAACAUUCCAGCGAGGAAAUACACUACAGGGUCUGAUCCACAGACAGCAAUUUGAUUUGGGAAUUUCAUUUGAGAAUGGUAAGGUUCAUUCCACCCACCCACAGGGCACAUAUGCAAUUUGGCUACAACGAUUACAAUAUGCAGUGCUAUAUAAUUCUAAAAUUGAAAAUGCCAGUAGCUAUCUGCGUUCGAAUUAUCCAUAUACUCUUAAUGUAGUCCUCCCUCAAAUGGAUGCUCUGACGUUGCCACUGAGAAACCGGGCAAUACACUGGCAAAUUAAGAAGGAACGAAUUGGAAGAUCGUACGGACGGCAACAAUCCCUUGCCAAUUGAAGCGCCACUGCCAUUUACAGCUUUCGAAAUGCGACGCACCGCCUUCUGGGCAUGUGUGCGAAAUGUGAAUUUUCUUCGCUGUGAUUGCCGAGCCAAACUGCAUUUGAAGUAAGGGUUGCAGCCGUGCAGGGUAUGGAUUGUGGGUGGUUGCCACAACGACGUUGCAACGGAGCUCUACAAAGGUGUACUCAAUGCAAAUUGCUAUUCUACAGACACCAGAAGUCCAACAAUACUGGAGCCAACAUUCAUUGAUUAUUCAAUUGUAGUUGUUGGCGUUAUUGUGUGAGAGCAUUUGCAGUUGUUGUAAUUUUUAUGCCCUUCUAUGGCUAUGCCUAUGCAUUUGCUCCAGCUCCAAUGCAGACACAUGCAUAUGAUGAAGAUGAUGCAGUCAACUGAUGCUUUAGCUGGCUUAAUAUUUAUUUUACUAUAGAAGCACUAGUCGUAGCUUAGUAAGCUUGUACUAAAUAAUUUUUUGGCAGCUUAUUACUUUAGCAUUAAGUUUAUAUUGCUUGUAGUUGUAAAUUGUUAUACUUAAAUAUUUUGAAAAUUGGUAGAUGCGCUUCCAUUAAAUUAUCGAAAUAAAUGAUUUGAAACAAGAACUUUUUGCUUUUAGUUUAUCGCAUUUUGCACAGGUUUCUGGAAAAAUCAUUUGGGACUAUAUCGAUUCGAGAAGAACGAACGUAGGUAAAAAUAAAGCUCUGAACCGCCCAUGUGCUGCUGAUGCCACUUGCUACUCCUUGGUUUCUAGGUAUGCAACUUAUGUCAUCAGCUAAAUUUUUCAUCAAGUUGCAGAAAAUAUAAGCACGGCACAAGUUUUAAAUGCAAAAAGAGGAGUAAAUGUCAACAAAAACAACUACAAUAAUGCAAAUUAGAAUUUGUCUAGUAAACUGCAUAUAAAAUUUAUAUCAUGAAUCCGAGAGGACACAACGUGCUGGCAUAUGUAAGGAAGUAUUUAUGUAUGUGGGUACGUAUGCAUGUACAUAAUCAACUGGGCAUAAGUAUUUUGGAUGCAUUCAUACUUGUAAAUAUGUACAAAACAUAUUUGUACUUUGGAGUACAGUCGGAUGUGACCACAAAGUGUAAGGAGAGGGGACGAAUCGGCGUGCACAUAAAAUUAGGACAUUUUUCGGCAAUACAAAUGCAUAAAAUAUUUGGUUUUAUAUAAUGUAGUAGUUUUAAAAAAUAAGUAUAACCAACUUAGUUAUGUAUACAACGUACUCCAAAUAUUAGGAAUUUAAAAAAAGCGUUAUUUUCAUACUAAAGCGAUUAUCUAAAGAAAAUAUAAUUAUUUUAAGAGUUUGUGAAGUAUAAAUAAUAUU